GGAUAGCUCAAUGGGGAGAGCAUGAGACACUUAAUCUCAGGGUCGUGGGUUUGAAUCCCAUGUUGGGCA